CCACGUUCAGGUUAACUGAUCAUGAUCUUAAACAAUUUUUUUAUUUUUAUUAUUUUUUUCAUCUACAAUUACUCUUUGUUUUUUCCUUUAACUUUUCAGUUUUUUUCUAUCUUCUCCAUUAUCAAAUGAGCAACGGAUCUGUUCAUCUCUCCUAGAAUUCAAUUUGAUCUUAACCAGUGCCUUCAUAUCUACUUUCUUUUUUCUGCACCAAAUCGAAAAUUUCAUCUUCCCUAAAGUUCAUCAUCAACAAGUUCUUAAAUUGAUAUGGUGGAUUGUGGCGGUCGAAUUUAAAAUCAAGUCGGGAAGUGAUUGAUACUGUUAAGGGUUGAUAGCAUUCCUCUUGUGGAUUAUAGUGCAGUAACGGUAGCUUGGAUCAAACAAGGAGGUCCCUCUAUAUGGUACGUAUAUCAUCUACUUAAUUCUUAACUGGAUAAUGUAUCAGCGGUGUCUUGAGGUAAAAUCUUAAAUUCUCCACACAACAUUUGACACAAACCCUUCUCUCUGUAAAGUCUAGGCGGGCAACUUUUAUGUUUCUUUGAACUACUUUGUAAAGACUAAUCAAGUACAUGGAGACCUAUAGCCAAAACUAUGUGGUUUAAUAUAAACUAAAUUUGUAAAUUUUAAUCUUAAAAUUUCAACAAACUA